rnacentral:rRNA from 1 species
AUUGAACGCUGGCGGCAUGCCUUACACAUGCAAGUCGAACGGUAACAGGUCUUCGGAUGCUGACGAGUGGCGAACGGGUGAGUAAUACAUCGGAACGUGCCCGAUCGUGGGGGAUAACGAAGCGAAAGCUUUGCUAAUACCGCAUAAGAUCUAAGGAUGAAAGCAGGGGACCGCAAGGCCUUGCGCGAACGGAGCGGCCGAUGGCAGAUUAGGGAGUUGGGGGGAUAAAAGCUUACCAAGCCGACGAUCUGUAGCUGGUCUGAGAGGACGACCAGCCACACUGGGGCUGAGACCCGGCCCAGACUCCUACGGGAGGCAGCAGUGGGGAAUUUUGGACAAUGGGCGAAAGCCUGAUCCAGCCAUGCCGCGUGCAGGAUGAAGGCCUUCGGGUUGUAAACUGCUUUUGUACGGAACGAAAAGACUCUUUCUAAUAAAGAGGGUCCAUGACGGUACCGUAAGAAUAAGCACCGGCUAACUGCGUGCCAGCAGCCGCCGUAAAAC